rnacentral:rRNA from 1 species
GAUGAACGCUGGCGGCGUGCCUAAUACAUGCCAGUCGAGCGAACGGACGAGAAGCUUGCUUCUCUGAUGUUAGCGGCGGACGGGUGAGUAACACGUGGAUAACCUACCUAUAAGACUGGGAUAACUUCGGGAAACCGGAGCUAAUACCGGAUAAUAUUUUGAACCGCAUGGUUCAAAAGUGAAAGACGGUCUUGCUGUCACUUAUAGAUGGAUCCGCGCUGCAUUAGCUAGUUGGUAAGGUAACGGCUUACCAAGGCAACGAUGCAUAGCCGACCUGAGAGGGUGAUCGGCCACACUGGAACUGAGACACGGUCCAGACUCCUACGGGAGGCAGCAGUAGGGAAUCUUCCGCAAUGGGCGAAAGCCUGACGGAGCAACGCCGCGUGAGUGAUGAAGGUCUUCGGAUCGUAAAACUCUGUUAUUAGGGAAGAACAUAUGUGUAAGUAACUGUGCACAUCUUGACGGCACCUAAUCAGAAAGCCACGGCUAACUACGUG